CUUUGGAGUCAUCUAGGUCUGGUGGCAAGAUAUAAAUCAGGACAACUAGAGAUGGCCCCAGUGGGAUGCAAUAGAAGAUGUUGGCCUUUUUAAGCUAAUGUUUUCCCCACGUCUCAGUUUGUCUGAGGAGACACCCAUUCGAUGACUAAGGUUAGAGUGCUGGCAUCUGGCCCGUUUUUUCAAAUGUGGGAUCAUCAGUCAAUCAAUAAGCUGUGUGGCACAGCACUGCACAUAUGGCAGCCCCUUCAAAGGCUUAUGGCCUAUGUCAACAUGCUUCUUACAUCUAAAAUAUCAAGAUCAGGAGCCAGAAACCACUGGACAUUCUGCUAAAGGACUACUCAGAUUUGAGGGAAGGACAAGAAAGGAAAAGAGGAGAGCAUGAGGACAAGAAUCAGUAGCUUCUGGGCGAAGGUUGUUGGAGGAUAGAGAACACCAGUUAUUGGGAGAAAUAUCUAGAAACUUUGUCCUUGUUUGUAUGUCUAUGUGUAUAUAGGUAUACGCAUCCAUGUGAUGAUGUAUUAAAUU